UACGAGAGGCCCAAACGUUAUUCGGAUUUACUGGGCUUAAAGAGUUCGUAGGCGGCGCAGAAAGUAGGGUGUGAAAGCCCUCGGCUCAACCGAGGAAUUGCGCUCUAAACUACUGUGCUCGAGGGACCUAGAGGUGAGCAGAACUGAUGGUGGAGCGGUGAAAUGCGUUGAUCUACAGAGGAACACCAAAAAAGGCGAAGGCAGUCAACUAUUCUGUUCCUGACAUUGAGGCAUGAAAGCGUGGGAAGCAAACCGG
rnacentral:rRNA from 1 species